rnacentral:rRNA from 1 species
AGUAAUGCAUAGGAAUCUGCCCGGUAGUGGGGGAUAACCUGGGGAAACCCAGGCUAAUACCGCAUACGUCCUACGGGAGAAAGCAGGGGAUCUUCGGACCUUGCGCUAUCGGAUGAGCCUAUGUCGGAUUAGCUUGUUGGUGAGGUAAUGGCUCACCAAGGCGACGAUCCGUAACUGGUCUGAGAGGAUGAUCAGCCACAUCGGGACUGAGACACGGCCCGAACUCCUACGGGAGGCAGCAGUGGGGAAUAUUGGACAAUGGGCGAAAGCCUGAUCCAGCCAUGCCGCGUGUGUGAAGAAGGCUUUCGGGUUGUAAAGCACUUUCAGUGAGGAAGAAGGCCUUGGGGCUAAUACCCCCGAGGAAGGACAUCACUC